rnacentral:tRNA from 1 species
UGGCUAAUAGCUCAGUCGGUUAGAGCGCCUGUCUGUUAAACAGGAUGUCGUAGGUUCAAUUCCUACUUAGCCAG